AACCGGUAUUCUUACCGGUGCACUCACCCGCGGUCAGGCCAGCAUCGGUUCGGGCGGCUGGAUAAAUUCCACUGGAAUGUAGCUCCUCUCGGGGAGCGUUAUAGCCAGAGGUGCCAUGCAGCCCGCCCGGACCGAGGACCGCGCUUCGGCUAGGAUGCUGGCGUAAUGGUUGUAAGCGACCCGUCUUGAAACACGGACCAAGGAGUCUAACAUCUAUGCGAGUGUUUGGGUGUCAAACCCAUGCGCGUAAUGAAAGUGAACGGAGGUGGGAACCCUUCAGGGUGCACCAUCGACCGAUCCUGAUGUCUUCGGAUGGAUUUGAGUAAGAGCAUAGCUGUUGGGACCCGAAAGAUGGUGAACUAUGCCUGAAUAGGGUGAAGCCAGAGGAAACUCUGGUGGAGGCUCGCAGCGGUUCUGACGUGCAAAUCGAUCGUCAAAUUUGGGUAUAGGGGCGAAAGACUAAUCGAACCAUCUGCUACUAGAUGGCAUACGGGCCUCGGGUGGCCCAGUAGUCCCCGCACGGCGGGGGGCGACAUCGUCGGUCUUCUGGGCUACCCGCAGUGAGCCUCGGGCUCAGUGGCGGUGGCCGUGCCCUGGAGCACGGUUACGAU
rnacentral:rRNA from 1 species